AUCCAUUUGGCGAGUUCGAAAUAGGACGAAACGCACGUCCUAGAU
rnacentral:hammerhead_ribozyme from 1 species